rnacentral:rRNA from 1 species
AUAUUCCAGAUUGCCUUAGUACGGCGAGUGAAGCGGCAAAAGCUCAAAUUUGAAAUCUGGCACCUUCGGUGUCCGAGUUGUAAUUUGAAGAAGGUAACUUUGGAGUUGGCUCUUGUCUAUGUUCCUUGGAACAGGACGUCACAGAGGGUGAGAAUCCCGUGCGAUGAGAUGCCCAAUUCUAUGUAAAGUGCUUUCGAAGAGUCGAGUUGUUUGGGAAUGCAGCUCUAAGUGGGUGGUAAAUUCCAUCUAAAGCUAAAUAUUGGCGAGAGACCGAUAGCGAACAAGUACAGUGAUGGAAAGAUGAAAAGAACUUUGAAAAGAGAGUGAAAAAGUACGUGAAAUUGUUGAAAGGGAAGGGCUUGAGAUCAGACUUGGUAUUUUGCGAUCCUUUCCUUCUUGGUUGGGUUCCUCGCAGCUUACUGGGCCAGCAUCGGUUUGGAUGGUAGGAUAAUGACUAAGGAAUGUGGCUCUACUUCGGUGGAGUGUUAUAGCCUUGGUUGAUACUGCCUGUCUAGACCGAGGACUGCGUCUUUUGACUAGGAUGUUGGCAUAAUGAUCUUAAGCCACCCGUCUAAAAAAAGGGAACAAAAAAAACCCAAAAAAUUAAAGGAAAGAAAUA